UGCCAGAUUUCUCCACGCUUUAUCAAAACAGAAACGCUGGCAGUUGAGGCACUCUCAGCCCUCCAGGGAUGUUCUGCAUCCUCCAUAAGCCCCAAAGAGGCAAUGAGCGUCUCCUGCGCCGCGGCGGGGAGGGGUGGGCGAUAUCCCGGAGUGCUUUCCUUCUAAAAGAAACACUGAACGAGCCCGGCACUCAGCAGCACUUCCAGUAAAACCCAUUCAAUCUCGGCAAUUCAUCCCACAAAUAUGUGUGGGAUGCUGGGAACUCCUCGGGACCGACGGGCACAGAUGGGCUCCGUCUGGAGCAGCGGCCGCAGCUCUUUGCUCCGCGUGGUAACGGCGUGAGUAACCAGAGACCUCCAUCCAGAACUUUAUUUAUCUUAUCUCUGGAACUCGGCGAAGCAUUUCAGGCUGUGACUUCUGCGGGGGGAAAAAAAAAAAAAAAAAAAGGAAAGGAAAGGAUGGAAGAAAGGCUGUUAAUCAAAGAGCCCCCAGCGGGAACCUCCACGUUUACUAGAAAAGGGAAAAGUUCAGGCGCUGAUUUGCCCGGGGGUUGUGCAGGAAGGGAUGAAGUAAAGGCUGGGACGGUGCAGGGCGAGCCGGGCUGCGAAAUGGAACGUGAAGAAAUGAAGAGCUGGAGCUGCUGGGGGGGAUUUCUGUGGAUGUGAGGACGGGAAGCGCCGGCGCUGUCAGCGCCCAUCCCGGCACGGGGCCGCGGCACCCCCGGGUGGGGAAAGGGGGACGGUCAGCCGGCGGCGUUGGGUGAAUAGCUGCCCGUGGGGGCAGAGGGGUGGGCGGAGCCGCUGCCCCCUCCCUGCUAUGCAGGCCGUGUCAGCUUCACAGCCGUGUCCGGCCAUUCCCCGCGGCGCUGCGGUAGCCCCCACAACGCGCUGCUGCUCCUCGUGAGCCCCCGUUUCCCUUCGUGAGUCCCCCCGAUUCCCUCACGAAGCUCUCUGUCCCUGCGUUCUCUCCUCCCCCCCCCCCCCCCCCCGAUGCGUGUGACCGCACAGCACCCCGUGACCGCACAGUGCCCCGUAACGCCCGCCCCUCCCCCCCCGGACCCCCGCAGGGCCGCUCCCCACGUUCCCGCCACCCGCGCGCUCCCUU
rnacentral:lncRNA from 1 species